rnacentral:rRNA from 1 species
AGUUCGGAUUGCAGGCUGCAACUCACCUGCAUGAAGCUGGAAUUGCUAGUAAUCGCGGAUCAGCAUGCCGCGGUGAAUACGUUCCCGGGCCUUGUACACACCGCCCGUCACACCAUGAGAGUCGGGAACACCCGAAGUCCGUAGUCUAACCGCAAGGAGGGCGCGGCCGAAGGUGGGUCCGGUAAUUGGGGUGAAGUCGUAACAAGGUACC